CACGGGGGUUGGAGGGCAAGUCUGGUGCCAGCAGCCGCGGUAAUUCCAGCUCCAAUAGCGUAUAUUAAAGUUGUUGCAGUUAAAAAGCUCGUAGUUGAAUUUCGGGAUCAAAUUGUUGGUCGUGCUUCGGCACGCACUGGCAUUAUUGGUUCCUACCUUCUGAAGAACCGCGAUGUCAUUAAUUUGGUGUCGUGGGGAAUCAGGACUGUUACUUUGAAAAAAUUAGAGUGUUUAAAGCAGGCGUACGCUUGAAUACAUUAGCAUGGAAUAAUGAAAUAGGACGUUUGAUUCUAUUUUGUUGGUUUCUAGGAUCGACGUAAUGAUUAAUAGGGAUAGUUGGGGGCAUUAGUAUUCAAUUGUCAGAGGUGAAAUUCUUGGAUUUAUUGAAGACUAACUACUGCGAAAGCAUUUGCCAAGGAUGUUUUCAUUAAUCAAGAACGAAAGUUAGGGGAUCGAAGACGAUCAGAUACCGUCGUAGUC
rnacentral:rRNA from 1 species